rnacentral:rRNA from 1 species
GUGGGAUGACGUCAAGUCCUCAUGGCCUUUAUGUCUAGGGCUACACACGUACUACAAUGGCCGGUACAAAGGGCAGCGACUCAGCGAUGAGGGGCUAAUCCCAUAAAGCCGGUCUCAGUCCGGAUCGCAGUCUGCAACUCGACUGCGUGAAGUUGGAAUCGCUAGUAAUCGCGGAUCAGCAUGCCGCGGUGAAUACGUUCCCAGGCCCGUU